rnacentral:rRNA from 1 species
AGGAUAAACGCUGGCGGCGUGCCUAACACAUGCAAGUCGAACGCGCUUGCUAUCCGCGAGGACGGUGAGCGAGUGGCGGACGGGUGAGGAACACGUGGGUGACCUACCUUUCAGUGAGGGAUACCGGCGAGAAAUUGCCGACAAGACCGCAUACGCUUCUCUUUUCAAGGGGAGAAGGAAAGCUUUUCGCAAGAGAGGCGCUGGGAGAUGGGCCUGCGGCCGAUUAGCUAGCUGGUGGGGUAAUGGCCUACCAGGGCGACGAUCGGUAGCUGGUCUGAGAGGACGAUCAGCCACACUGGGAUUGAGAACGGCCCAGACUCCUACGGGGGGCAGCAGUGAGGAAUUUUCGGCAAUGGGGGCAACCCUGACCGAGCAACGCCGCGUGCAGGACGACGGCCUUCGGGUUGUAAACUGCUUUCUCUGGGACGAGCAAGGACGGUACCAGAGGAGAAGCCCGGCUAACUACGCGCCAGCAGCCGCGGU